UAAAGUUCUGAUGAAUAUAAAGAUUGAAAAGUUCCAAACCAAGACCCCCAGCAAUGACUGCACAAUGUCAAAUUUUUAACUUAGGGAGACUAAACUAUACCUCAACAAGGCUAUUCACAUAGGGAAUCAUUCUUGGAUCAUAAUCAACUUCAGUUGCCAAUUGUUUGAUAUCAUUCGUCCUCGUGUCGUAGGAAAUGAGUGUACUCCCCAAUCGUAUCACCACAAUUUUACCACCGAUAAACAAUACACUUUUCUGAUCAGUCUGACCAGCAAACACUGAAUCGUUUAAAGUUACAUUUUUCACAGACCAUGCUCUUGUUUUGCUAUGCAUUUGCAUUGUGUUUGUGUAGGGAUUUGACAGCUCUGCUAUUGUUAAUUUUGAACCUUGUAUGGAAGCAGAACACAACUUCCCAUUCACCUUACCCAGAGAACCAGAUGAAUAGGAAUAAAUGAGAGUUGACCGCUCACUCGUCAGAUCAAAAGCAACAACUGUACUCCUUGACUGCCAAUAAACAAUGCCAUCAACAUGAACACCUGUACUAGGAACAAUCUGCCGAUUACCAAAGCAAAUCUCACCAGAAGUUCUCCAAGAUCCUUCAGCAGAUGAAUAAAUAUCAAAUUCAUAUCCA
rnacentral:misc_RNA from 1 species